AGCCACAGCCAUGACAGUGCCAAUCUUUAAGCUGCUGAGCCAGCAGGGAACUCCCCUCAGAGAUUCUCCAAGACAUUUUUAACCAGAACUGAGAUUUGCUGCACACUUUCUAAACUUCAAAAUCCCAGCUGUUUCUGAAAUGAAGAAAAUAAGAGAGAAAGAGAAAGCAGCUUUUCAUGAUCACAAGAAUAUGUCCAAAGCAACUAAAACUGUUCCCAUGAAACUUAUUAAAUUAAUAUUAAAUAUUAAAAAAUUCCUAAGUGUUUUUAAUGGUUGCUAUUUCAUAACACCUAUCUCCAGCAAAAUAAAAACUUGAGUUUUUGAAUAAAAAUCAAUGUAUAAUUCUAUGCUUAAAAUGGUAUUAAAGUGCCAAAGGUAAAAAUUAUCAUUCUUAUGUAAACUACAGAAACAGUCAAAAAUAAAUUGUACAACAUCAA